AUGAGGAAUGUGUUUGCUCCCACAGCCUCUUGGAGCCUUGCCAAGACCACCCAGCCCCUCUCCAUGGACUCCUAUGAAGGGCAAGAAGUGAACGUGUCUUGCAGCCAUACAAACAUUGCUACAAACGAGUACAUUUACUGGUACCAGCAAGUCCCCCAUCAGGGACCACAAUAUAUUAUUGAAGGAUAUAAGGACUAUGUGGCAAAUGAAGUGGCAUCUCUAUUUAUCUCUGCUGACAGGAAGCUCAGCACUCUGAGCUUGCCCUGGGUUUCUCUGACAGAUACCGCUGUGUAUUACUGCAUUGUGGCUGACACACAGUGA